AGAAAGGAAUGUCUGUUGCGCCCCUCUCAAUCCCUGAGACCCUAACUUGUGAUGUUUACCGUUUAAAUCCACGGGUUAGGCUCUUGGGAGCUGUGAGUUGUGCCUUUGCAUCUGGGAUAUUUGGUGGAAC
ensembl:miRNA MIR125B1 microRNA 125b-1